rnacentral:misc_RNA from 1 species
CCACUUUCAGAAUGAAGUCUCUGGACAAAAUGCUGGCUGACCGGGUGAUAAAAACCAUUAAUGAAUGUUUUGGUGAUGAUGUGACGAAGCUCAGAAAGGUUAAUGAAUACGAAGCUGACUUUGAGGAGAAAAAAGCUAGACUGGAGACAAGGUUAGAUCACGCCAAUUCUUCAGUUUCACAUGAGAUUCAAGAUUUGCUAAAUUCAGGAGAUAAACUGGAGAAGAGAGUUUCAGAUCUAACUGCUCAACAAGAUUCUCUUCUUAUUAUUGCUAGGGAAACUGCUGAGCAUUGUAGAAGGUUUUCUACAGAGAACAGAGAACUAUUGACUGAUAUAUCGUGUGUUAGAGGAGUAACACAGUACACUCUAUGGCUGCGACUGGUGGAGCAGGUCAGUCUAGACCUGUCUGUUUCUUUGGAGACCCGGGAUAAAGACCAGAUAAUAAAUGCGUACAAGAAAAUGCAGGAUGUAAGAACAGCGCUUCAGGAGUCAAAGUGUGAGAACUUGAAGAAGUAUGUAGAUGAAACUGUAGAACAUUGGCAUAAGAUUGUCACGCAGACCUACACCACCUCCCUGCAGUCAUCUCUAGACCUCUUCAACUGGCCUUUUAUAGAGUCCUUGGAAAACUCGAAAAAGUCGAUUGCUGAUCUAAUUCGAAUUGGUUCUGACGAUAUUCGAGCGCUGAGAGAUUCUAUCGAGCUUCUUCUGCUAGUUCAGCAUCCAGCAGAGCAGGGGGAGAAGUUCUUCCUAAACCUGCCGAUGAGGGUGCUCAUGAAACCUCUUCGGAAGAGGUUUAAGUUUCAUUUCCUUGGAACAAAAUCCACAAAUAACCCGUCCAAACCUGAAUGGUUCGUGACACAACUCUCAACCUGGGCAAUGUCUCACAGACAGUUUUUGACGGAGUAUGUACAGCCGGCCUAUGACAGGGUUGGUUCUCCCAUUUUCGCAAUAAGAGAGUUUGCGCAGGGUCUGGUUUGCUUGGCGGUGGAUAAGCUUUGUGUUGAUAUUCCCAUUGUAGUUGAAGACGACAUUUUAUUUGCUCACACUAUAGACGAAGCUAUAGGAUUAGCACGUGAUAUGAGCAAUAUUAUGCAGUAUAGUUCAUCCCAACCCAGUGUUCUUCAACCCUUGACAACACAGGGUAUAUUCUCCAGAUGGUUGAACAUGGAGAGGAAGUUUGCUUUCGAGAAGGUGGACAACUUGUUCAUGGAGCAGGGUACAUCCGUCUGGGAGUCCGAAGUAGGAGACAGUUUAACACCUAGAGCAGCAGAAACCUUCCUAGCUCUUCUACUCUCAGUUACAGAGAGAUAUAAGUUCUUAUCCGACUCUCAUCAUAGACUUGAGUUCCUUAAACUACAGUUGGAUCUUAUAGAGGAUUUUCGUGUCCGUUUGGUUCAAUUGGCUCGGACGGAGAAGAAGUCUCCACUGAGUUCUAACCUUUGUCCAAUUCUGAACACGUUGGAGCACCUUAUCCUUGUGCUGGGUAACUGGGCGGAGACCCCCUUCUUCCUCAAUCUACAGUUCCAGAAGAGCAAUGUUAAACCUGGCUCUGGGGAGGAUUUAGAACAGAGAGAGAAUACAAAACCUAAUCCCGACUCCGGUAUGGAGAAUACAGUGUUCGAGGAUAGUAUUGAGGAGCUUGAGUAUCUCAGAGAGAAUCUGAUCAACGAGGUGGUUGAAUCUAUAUACUACACUAUUACAGCGAGAUCGUUAAAAUACAGGACGGAGACGAAAUGGUUCAGUAUGUCGGACAGCGGGAAAACAAUAAGUCCUAAAAUUUGCGAGAUGUUGCAAAGUCUUGCUUUUGGUCUGGAUGCAGCUCGGAGAAGGAUAAACCCUGCUGCCUUCCAGCUAGUGUGGAGAAACCUGGCAGAUCGUCUUCACUCAUUUAUCAUUCAGGAGAUUAUACUCAGUAAUAAGUUCUGUAUAGAGGGGGCGGAGCAGCUAGAUUUUGACAUGAAAACUGGAGUUUUUCCAAUUUUCGGAGAAUUCUCCAAAUUCCCUCAAUCCUACUUUCCACAGCUUGUGGAUGCUUUGAAAUUGUUAAAAAGUUGUGCUGGUCCCCUGGUUCUAGCGUAUCAGGGUCUACUGGAUACCUGUGAAACCGGGGCAAUUAAUAUCCUGGCAGACCUGGGUAUUCAACAUCUCACCAGGGAUCGGGCUUGUCUCAUCAUCAGUACUAGGAUAGACCUGGAGUUAUGAUAAAGUAGUCAUGGCUGUACAUUUUUACGGGAGAUAAUCCUACUCCCGAUUAUAGUUUUCUUUCAGUGUUCUUUACCAAGUCUACAAUAACUUCUUGCAGUAAAUGUUGUUAAACUAAUUUACCAACAAAUGCUUGUUUUAGCUGAAAAUGAUUACAAUAAUACAAAACUGAUAUGGUUCAUUGUUGUUAUCGUUUCUUAAUCCAAUAUGUAGAAUAACCCUGAAUGAAAUGUUUUCAUGCUAAAUGGACAUCACCAUGUUUUUUAAUUACAUGUAAAAGAAAAAUGAUAAUUUAUUAUUUUCCUUGAAAAAUCUUGUCCCCUCUUAAAACACUUCAUCGUUAUUUUGAUCUAUAAUCGUCUCAAUUCAACCAGUUGUGAUAAAUAUCUAAAUAAGUUUGCUGAGUGCUGAUAAAAGAUGAAUUUUUAUGAUUUAAUGUUAACUAUUUAAUAUUUAAAAAAUAUUUAUAAAUUGCAUUUAUUUGUUUGUUUCA